ensembl:lncRNA
CGGGGUGGCCCCAGGCGUGAUGCUGCAGCUGGCGGUGAUGGCUGCGCGCCCCGUCACGUUUUGAAGCCGGGUUUCAAUGUGCUCUCGGGUUCCUCUAAGUCACUUUGGGUCCUUUUUUGAGUGUGAAGGAACAGACGUGCUCCUUCCCGAGGCUCACCUUUUCCCCCUUCUGCCCGCCAAGUACGGAUUUUUGUCUUUUCAAGUGAAUCCUUUGCAUUUCUGCUGCUGUGCGCGUGCUGUCUUUGUUCAGCGUGAGCAAACGUGACGGUGUGCGUGACGGUCGGUGCCGUGAGUAGCUGAACUCCGGAGGAACGGGAAAUAAAAUUAAGGAAGCUCUCCAACAGUAGCCUGCGUUUAUGUAAGAAAGACAUAGAGAGUGCUUCUUGCUCCCUCUUCUGGUUCCUCAGCACCAGUGCCCCGCACUCGGCUGCACCGACAGAACGAAGCUGGAGUGCAGACAUCACAGCAAACUGUGGGACUCGUGCUGACUCCAGUGGUCCUUUGGGAUGCAAGAGGACGUAUAAAUCGGGUGAAAAAAUAAGUUCUUUUCUUAAACGGUUCAAACACGAUUGUUAAGAAGUAGGUGUGUGUCUCUUUGUAUGGAAACUAUAGUAACAGUAAUUUCUACUAGAAAAAGAUACCAUAGAAAGAUCCCAAUCUGAUUUUUCCCAUUCAGUCUCAGGGCUGCUACUUCACACCCCCGUGCCUGUCGAGAUCAGUUGCUGAAAGCAAAGCGUAUCGAAGGCAAUGUUAAAAACUGCCGCUGGUCAGGGAUGCCACUGUUGUGUGCAUGGGGCUGGCACGGGGAUGAAAGGGAGCUGGGUGCAGCCCUAAUGCUCUGCAGCUCACCAGCCACUUUGCUUUAACCUGCAUAGCUAAAGAGCUACGCUGGGCUGGCCGUGCUCGUGUACCCUCACGCCAGGGAGGGAAUGGGCCUUACCGUUCGUGAAGCCCUUCCUGCCCAUUUAUUACGUGCACAGGAACGGCAGAGCCAUGAGCACUGCUGAGAAGAGCCCAUGGCCGCCCCUCCCGCACAACUUGGGUGGUGUGAAACCCGAGUGAGGACCGGGCUCUGUGUCUUCGUCACGUUUCCAGCUUUUGGGAAUACGGAUCAGCUUAGAUUUCACUGGGCUGCAAACCGAGAUCCUUGCAGGGCUUUACCAGUUUCAGUGUUUACCGUGUACAAUAACAGGAUGGCUUAUUUUUAUUAGCCCUUGAAUCAAGCAUGCCAAAUGAUUUCAUGCCAAGUUACAGCGUUAAUGGAGUCUAUUAAUUUAUUACAUAAAACAUAAAGGCAAAAUAAAACCAAUGCCUAACAAAAGCAAACAGGUUUAAAAGAGGCUUGUAAUUGGGGCUGAUAACCCACUGCUGCUGCAGGCAAAAGGUAAAUGCCAGGAGGGACCCGAAGAAUCAGCUCUUCAGGUUUUUAUUCAACCCCAGGCUUCCUCAGAUCCCUUUGGAGCCUAAGCCAAACUGUAUGUUUUACAUUUUCUCAAAGUUAAAUGAUAUACUUAAACAACAGACAACAGCCUGGCAGGCUUAAGUAUAUAUUCACUUACAUGCAAAUAUCAGCGCUCAUUAUCCCUACCUACUUUCUGUCACUCCAUAAUACAUGGUGGAACUCUUACCUGUGCUUCCCAGGCGCUAGGAGCGCAGGACUGGCUGCUGUAUGUAUGGCAUAUGCUGGGAUAGAUACUGUGUUUCUCGUAAACCACAAGACACAACAUAAAGGGGUACAUGUAUUUUCUUAAGCAAAAAAAGUUUGAAAACAGGUCUUACUUACCCAGUAUAUUAUGACGGCACGGAAGGUUCCACCACAGUGUGCCAAAUAAAGAUUUUUAAGCCAGUGGAAGGUAAUAUCAUAUAACUCCCACUUAAGGCAAUGAAAGUUUUAUGUUUGGAAAGAUUACAGUUACAGAACUCAAAUUGACUAUUGACUGUUUAAGAAAGUCCAGACCUACCAAUUAAGUCAGUGUGAGUCUGUUUCUUGAGUGUAAUUGGUUUUGAAGUCGGUCCUAAGUCUAAGUUUUGGGGCUUAUUUGUUUCUUGGCUUGGUUUAAUUUUUGCUGCUAGUUGGAGCAGACUGACUGUGUUCAAUACUCAGCAAGCCUGGGGACUGCGUGCACUGCAGUGCUUCAGCACAGGCAAAUUUAUAGUCUGUGGGUCCCACAAUGUGUUUCCUUUCCUCUUCGAACAUCAGCUCCUGAAGUCAUGUGAUCUUUGCCUUGACUUGAGAAGUUUCCUGCCUGUUAGCUGCAGAAAUGUUCGUAAAACAUGACCUUAAAGAAAACAAGAAACAGAAACGUCUUAUUUCCUCUCUGUAAAAUAACACUUGUAAUUUUUAGAG